CUGGGUGACGCUCUUUUGACAGAGCCCUGUUUGAGAGCUUGCUGAGGUUUCACACAGGAGUGCUAACCCCGCCUUCAGACCUCAAACCCUGUUUUUGCUGGUCGUGAGAAUAGCCUCAUAGUAUACCUGGACUUUCAAAAAGCUUUCAACCAAAAUUCCUCAUCAGAGAUUCUUGAGAAAUCCUAGCAGUCAUGGGAGAAGGGGACAGGUUUAUGUGUGGAUUGGUAACUGGACGAAGGGCAGGAAACAGAAAGUAGGAAUAAACUGACAGUUUUCUAAAUGGAGGGAAGUAAGAAGUGGGGUACCCCAGGGAUCUGUACUGCGAGCAGUGAGUAUUGGGACCAGUGCCCUUUAACUUGGUCAUAAAUGAUCUAGCACUUGGGGUAAGCAGCAAAGUGGGCAAAUUUGCAGAUGACACUAAACUAUUUAGGGUAGUAAUAUCCAAAACAGAUUGUGAGGAGCUCCAAACUGAGGGAGUGGGAGACAAAAUGGCAAAUGUGGUUCAGUAAAGUGAUGCAUAUUGGGGCAAUGAUAGGGUUUGAGCUGUCAGUUACUUGCCAGGAGAGGGAUCAUGGGAUCAUGGUGGGCAGCUUGCUGAAAGUAUCAACUUAAUGUGUGGCAGCUGUGAGAAAGGCAAAUUCCAUGCUUGGAAUCAUUAGGAAGGGGGUCAAAAAUGAAAAUGCUAAUAUUGUAAUGCCCUUGUACAAAAAUGUGGUGCGGCCACAUUUGGAGCACACAGUUUUUGUCACCAUAUCUUAAGAAAAACACCUUCCUUACAAGGCAAGGCUACAACACCUGGGGCUUUUUAGUGUAGAAAAAAAAAGAUAAAUGAGGGACAACAUGAUAGAGAGCUAUAAAGUCAUGCAUGAUGUGGAGAAAGUUGAUAGAGAAAUUUUUCUCCCUUUUGCAUAAUACUGGAACCAGGGGUCAUCCCAUGAAGCUGAUUGCCAAGAAAUUUAGGACUGACAAAAGGAAGAACUUUUUACACAACAUAUAAUCAACCUAUGGAAUCAUCUGCCACAAAAUGUGGUGACUGCCAACAGCCUGGAUGGCUUUAAGUGGUGUUUAGAUAAAUUUAUGGAGGGCGGAUCUAUAAAUGGCUACUAGUCUGAAGGCUAUAGGCUACCUCCAGCCUCAGAGGCAAAAUGCCUCUAAAUACCAGUGGAGGACAUGAGUGGCACCUCUUGCUUGUGGGCUAUCCAGAGGUUUCCGGUGGGCCACUGUGUAAAACAAGAUGCUAGACUAAAUGGGCCUUGGGCCUGAUCCAGUAGUUCUGUUCUUAUGCCCUGGAACUGGCUGCUGUGCAGCUUCCUAACAAAGGGGCCUGUUUCUUCUGGGAGCUUGGUUGUAGCAGAGCAAUCAUUCCUGUGAUUGCCUGGAGAUGCUCUCAGUCUACUUGUUAAGUAGGAAGUUUCUGUCCUUGGGUCAAGCAUCAGAGUGGGUUGAUUGACAGGCACAUCAUCAUGUAGAAGUCAACUAGAGAGUAACUCAAGGCACAAUGGAAUCACUGAAUAAAAGCAGAGCAAAACAGAGGGAGCCUGUUCAUUCCUCCUAUACAGUCUUAAGAGAACACCUUCUUUGUUAUGAACCCUGCUGCCUAUUAAGAUCUUCAGAGGAGAUACCUCACAUCUGACUUUCACUGAAAUGCAGCCACUGAAUCCAUGUAGCAAAAGUCAAAAUUCAACCUUGAAAUCCACCAUAUUGGAACUGCAUUUUGACACCAACAUCCAACAUCUAUCAUUGAAACAUUCACAUGGAGAAGACUUCUAAUUUCAUCCAUUCCUACAUAUAUUUAUUCAAAAUCUAGUACAAAAUGUGUUAAUUUUUUUUGCUCUUGUUGCAAGCCUGUGGUCAAAUGCAAACUGCACCUCGUGUCAACUGUCAAAAUUUGAAAAUACAGAGACCUGGUCUAUGCAAGCAGCAAGAGGGAGUGUAGUAGCAGAGGCUUGAAGUACUAGAAUGGAUUGUACCUCUGCAGAUUGCAGAUGGGAGAUCACAGGUUUGAAUACUCUCUCUCUCUCUCUUUCUCUCUCUCUCUCGUCUAUCUGUCUAACACCCUAGUCAGAAAGGAGGAGGCUAUAACACUUUCCCCACAUGUACCAGGGGUUUAUUGAUUAUUUUUACUUGCAGAAAAUGGUGUUGGUGUUUAACACAGGGGAGCAUUCAGAAAUCAUACCUUCAUUUUGCUGCCUAAAGUGGUCUUGUCCAGUCCUGAACUAGUAGAUUGUAUCACUUCAUUCUGCACUACAUGUUGGUUGGUUGCUAUUGCAAAAUGCUAAUGAUAUUGCCAGUGUUCAUAAUUACCUGGUUGUUAUACAAACUUCUUCAACUCAUAAAGCUUGUUCACAUUAUCAAAUAUGGUAAUGUGAUUCCCUAAGGUUUCCCCUCAGGUCAGUAUCUAAUCCAUUCGCCUUCCUCUUGCUCUGCUUUGAAUCCUCUCAUGUAAGUGUCCUACAUAUCAAGGACCCUGGGAAAAUUAAAUUUAUGAGGGUGCCGGAGUUCUUAGUAUGGAUGUUGGUCAUGCUAGAAACUACAUAUUUCAGGGUUUGGGGGAAAUGCAAGUUAUUUUUCAGCAUUUUGAGGAAAAAUAGCUCAGUUUGCCAAUCACUACAAAAUAUCAUUGCAAAACCACUAUCAAAUACUGUCAGAUACCAACUGUCAAUAUCAGUCAAACAGUGAAAUCAAAUAUUGUCAAAUGCUAACGUUGAAUUUCAAAUAUUUACUUAAUAUGUACACAUUCCAGAGACAAUUUAUCAUCAACAUUUGAAUAGGAGAAUUACUUGAGACAAUUUAGUUUCAGCUCUGACUGAUGGUGUUGGAUACUGAUUCUGUCCUCUCAACAGAAUCACCAUGAAGCAUAGUUAUGGGUUGCUGAUAGGCCACCAACAUCUUUUAAAUAAUUGCCUCAUCACAGUGAAAUAAGCUGUUGUUUAAUGGAAUAUGAAUAAAUCUAAAGCCUUUUGCUAAGACUGUGAGUGGGUUAUAUAUGUAUGAUGGCUAUAUUAAUCUUUAAAAACAAAACAAUUAAAGCAUAAAUGUUAAGUAGGGUCACUCAGGUCAAUCAAAGCUGAAGUUUGUACCAGAUGAAUACUCCAUAAGGAACAGUAAUUUGAUUUUCUAGAUCACAACUUUAUUCACACCUCAUUACAAUUUGCCUGCAAUAGAAUUAUAAAUAGUUGCAUAACAUUUACUUUUCUGUUAAUAAAGUUUGAUGUUUUCUGUUAUA